rnacentral:rRNA from 1 species
CGUGUAGGCGGAAAUAUAAGUCAGAUGUGAAAUCCCGGGGCUCAACCCCGGAACAGCAUUUGAAACUGCAUUUCUAGAGGGUAGACGGAGAAAACGGAAUUCCACAAGUAGCGGUGAAAUGCGUAGAUAUGUGGAAGAACACCAGUGGCGAAGGCGGUUUUCUAGUUUAUACCUGACGCUGAGGCGCGAAAGCAAGGGGAGCAAAACA